rnacentral:rRNA from 1 species
AUUGAACGCUGGCGGCAGGCCUAACACAUGCAAGUCGAGCGAUCGGCGGAUGGGUGAGUAAUGUAUGGGGACUGCCCGAUAGAGGGGGAUAACUACUGGAAACGGUGGCUAAUACCGCAUACUGUUGGAUAACCAAUAGGGGCUUAGCUCGUAGGUAAGGUAAUGGCUUACCUAGGCGACGAUCCCUAGCUUGUCUGAGAGGAUGAUCAGCCACGCUGAGACUGAGACACGGCCCAGAAUCCUACGGAGGUAGCAGUGGGGAAUAUUGCACAAUGGGCUCAAGCCUGAUGCAGCCAUGCCGCGUGUAUGAAGAAGGCACUAGGUUUGUAAAGUGCUUUCAGUCGAGAGGCGUUACCGAGAGAAGAAGCACCGGCUAACUCCGUGCCAGCAGCCGCGGUAAUAA